GUUUAUUUUUUAAAUUAAUCUGUCAUUUUUUGUACGUCUUUUUUCCUUUUUAAAUUUCUUACUACGUGAGAAUUCAUUUUUAAUUCCAAUAAAUCAUACUAAUUAUGAGUGAAAGUGGAAAUAGAAUUAAUCAAUGUUAUAAGGGAAUUCAAAAAUUUUUUAACAAUCAAACUAUUCAAGGACGAGCUAAUGUUUCAUUGGUUACUAUAUUUGCUAUUCUGAUCACAUUGUUGGGAUUCAGAAUUUUAAAGAAAAAACGGGGGUCUACAUAAAGAGAAAAUUUCUUCGUAUAAUACCUAAUAUAUAAUGACAGAAAAGAAAACUACUUUAACAAAAUUUAUCGUACAAAUUGUUGCAAGCGGAGUUGCACUUGGUACUGGGUCAUACUUACUCUUCGAAUCUCUUUUGAAAAGAUAUUUUAUCGAAUGUAAAGCUACAAAAAAGAAAUAAACUAUCUCUCUUU